CACCCCAAAGCUAAAAGCAAACAUGUUAAGUUCCAGUUUCAAAUGGCAGAUUCCACAGAAGGUUAUCAAAAUCUGCAAAGCCCUCAGAGGAUAACGCCAUUGAGGCUCCACCCCUUCGUAUCCCAGUCGUAAAACCUAUGGAAUCCUGACCCUGUGGAGCUCCAGGAGAGGAAUUCAUACUGGGGACCAAGGAGGGAGUAAAGAUGUGCAUCUUCAUACACUACUUCUCCAAAGCCAGCCUAUGGAGUACAGAGAACGUAUCUUCAUGUUUUUGUAAUCCGCGUUUAUGAACCGUAAUAGUGUUUGACACAGCAAAAUGCAUAUACAAAAUGGAUUCACUCUUUAACAGCUGAACACAACAGGACAAAUAAAAAAUAAACAAUGUAACUUUUAUCUCUGGAUAUUUGGAAAUUUCUUUCAAAAUUUA